rnacentral:rRNA from 1 species
AAGCGGUGGAGGAUGUGGCUUAAUUCGAGGCUACGCGAAGAACCUUAUCCUAGUCUUGACAUGCACGGAUUAACCCCUGGAAACAGGGGCCACGCCUUCGGGUGGAACGUGCACAGGUGCUGCAUGGCUGUCGUCAGCUCGUGUCGUGAGAUGUCGGGUUAAGUCCCUCAACGAGCGAAACCCUUGUCACUAGUUGCCAGCGCGUCAUGGCGGGGACUCUAGUGAGACUGCCGGUGUUAAACCGGAGGAAGGUGGGGAUG